rnacentral:rRNA from 1 species
UAGCGGAGGGAGCUAGCGUUGUUUCGGGAAUUAUUGGGCGUAAAGAGCUCGUAGGCGGUUUGUCGCGUCUGCUGUGAAAAACUGGAGGCUCAACCUCCAGCCUGCAGUGGGUACGGGCAGACUAGAGUGCGGUAGGGGAGAUUGGAAUUCCUGGUGUAGCGGUGGAAUGCGCAGAUAGUCAGGAGGAACACCGAUGGCGAAGGCAGAUCUCUGGGACCGUAACUGACGCUGAGGAGACGAAAGCAUGGGGAGCGAACAGGAU